GAGCUUUGGCAGUAUGGAAGGUGGAUGCGAGAGGGAGACUUCAUGGAAACCACCUUGUAAAACAUGAAUACAAGAAACCUUUAACUUGCUGCAUCUUCAGACCGUCCACACCUGGAGAUGAUGUGGCAAUGCUAGCUCGAGCAUCUGUGAGAGGAGAUGAGCGUGCGCUGGACAAGUUUAGCUGGAAGGGGGCACCUCUGAAGAUGGGGCCACAGGAGGGACUUGGAUUCUUUAUCUGCACUGCAGAUGGUAAAGUCCAUAGUGUGGAUGAGUAUUGUAAGACGAGUGUCCUUCUCAGUGUGGAGGGCUCCAUCAAGAAACUUCUCUACAU